rnacentral:siRNA from 1 species
AUGUCGUGUCUCAAUGGUUGC